rnacentral:rRNA from 1 species
CCUACGGGAGGCAGCAGUGGGGACUAUUGCACAAUGGGGGAAACCCUGAUGCAGCGACGCCGCGUGAGUGAAGAAGUAUUUCGGUAUGUAAAGCUCUAUCAGCAGGGAAGAAAAAAGACGGUACCUGACUAAGAAGCCCCGGCUAACUACGUGCCAGCAGCCGCGGUAAUACGUAGGGGGCAAGCGUUAUCCGGAUUUACUGGGUGGAAAGGGAGCGUAGACGGUGCGUCAAGUCUGAAGUGAAAGCCCGGGGCUUAACCCCGGGACUGCUUUGGAAACUGGCGCGCUAGAGUGCUGGAGAGGUAAGUGGAAUUCCUAGGGUAGCGGUGAAAUGCGUAGAUAUUAGGAGGAACACCAGUGGCGAAGGCGGCUUACUGGACAGUAACGGACGUUGAGGCUCGAAAGCGUGGGGAGCAAACAGGAUUAGAUACCCUUGUAGUC